GACGAACGCUGGCGGCGUGCCUAAUACAUGCAAGUCGAACGCAGUGGGGACGGGUGAGUAACACGUGGGUAACCUCCCAUCAGAGGGGAUAACACUUGGAAACAGGUGCUAAACCGAUACUGAUGGAUGAACCCGCGGUGCAUUAGCUAGUUGGUGAGGUAACGGCUCACCAAGGCCACGAUUCAUAGCCGACCUGAGAGGUUGACCAGCAACACUGGGACGGAGACACGGCCCAGAUUCCUAGGGGAGGCAGCAGUAGGUAAUCUUCGUCAAUGGACGAAAGUCUGACCGAGCAACGCCGCGUGGGGGAAGAAGGUUUUCGGAUCGUAAACCUCUGUUGUUAGAGAAGCGGUAUCUAACCAGAAAGCCACGGCUAACUACGUGCCAGCAGCCGCGGUAAUUC
rnacentral:rRNA from 1 species